CAGAGAGAAAGGCAGCCUUGAAGGAGCCUCGGCACUUGAAAAAGGUGAAUAAAUCCUCAAUUUUUUACAUUUCUCUAUGGAAAUGGGGAGGGGGAGGAUAAAGGACAUGAAUGCUAUAAUGUUUCUUUAACGCAAGCAUAGUAUUAAUCAGAGAGAAUUACCUUACUUAAUCUUGUAAUUUUUUCUAAUCUUUAUCAGUUAGAUCAUACAUUAAGAAAAACAAAUUCUAAAUGCAUCUUUAGCAUGAACAUCUGUUGAUCAGUGUAUUUGAAACUGUAAACAAUACUCUUGUCAGGUUCAUGCAAGGCGAACGCAAAGCAAUAUUCAUUACCACGCUCUGUAACCAAUAUGCUUGUUUACCAUAAUGCUUUAUGACCUUAAAAUAACACUUCACAUGUAAAAGAGGACAGCACAAAAGCUCAGAAAACAUACAUGAAUUUAUGUAUUUAGGACAUAUCUAUGUGUUUGAAUCAUUGGCCUUUCCCUUUCUUUGGAAAAGCAAUGUUUAAAAAAAUAUUUUAAUAGCAAUAAAAAGGAUUAUUUUGCAUUUGAAACAGUAAAACUAGCUAUAUCUAAUGCAUAAUUUAUACAAAAUAAAGAGAGGAAUAAAGAGAUAAGCUAAGUAUAAUAGAAAAUAAUGCUACCGAGGGUCAGCGGAAACUCUAUAGCAAACCACAAGACAGAAAGAUGAGUUGUUUUUCCUAAUAUAAGCUUCACUGUUAUGUUAUGUAUCAAGCUAAGGUUGAUUGCAUUCGUACUCAUGGUGAACACAGCUACAGUUCAGAGUGUAAACUAAACUUUUGGCCAUAUCACAAUUUGCCCAAAUGUAUGCUGAUUGUGAUUUGGCAGGAUUCAGUAUCUCUGAUGUGUCUAAAAAAUACUUGGAUGAGCAAGUUCAUUUGCUUUGGGAUUCUGAGUUCUGGCAGCGAUGCCAAAAAACAGACGACUAAUAGAAAACAGAUGACUGAUGGCUGGAGGACAGUCACUAAAUGUUUUUUUUUUUUUUUUUAAGACAUGGAGGCUCCUUAUAUGCUGUACUCUGUAACAUUAGAAGCAGUAUAAUAACAUAGGAGGCAAAUCCUCCUAGUAACAGUGUGGCGAAACCAACCACCUAUUUGGAUUAUUUACCCUUCUUUUUGUAUACUUCGGUAAUUGAAGUCCACCGAACGGAUUAUAAUUGUGGUGUUCACAUACCGAACAAACUCACAAACCAUUGGACCACCCAGGGGAGUUGUGUGUUGCCAUUUGACCCUUUUGACCUCCUUAACACCUCAAAACCCCAACAUACAGCGGUAUUUGGUCGUUGAGUGUAUGGAACUAUAAUCAGACACUGUGCGAAUACCGCUGAGACUUCCACUUCCACUUAGGUUCGGUUCCAUUCAUCAAAGAAGAGCGAAGUUCUGCAGGAUCUAACUCCUGAACGAGGGCCACAUAACCAACUUACAUACGAACAGUUAUUUUAUUAUGUUCCGUACUCCUAAAAGAGACCGACCGCUCAGCCUGAAUUUGUGGAACUCUUUUGGGCAGGCGCCUCGUAUGCGGUCGUUCUAAACUAUACCCCGGUGGCGUUUCGGCUGCAUUCGUGGGAUCUGAGUGCUUUCGGGAUAUGUUGGGCGCUCAGAUGCAGGCUAUCCGGGGAUAUAGGACUUGAGGGGGUACCUAUUUGCAAAGUGUGUAUUUUGUGGUGUUUUUGUUAUGUAAGUCUUGGACCUGAGAGUUAAUGUAAUUAAGGGUGUGUUUUAUAACAGUCUCCUCUCAGGUCCAGUGGGGAAAUGCCCCUGGAAUAUGUUACCUGAGACCCCUUGCACGGUGACACACAUAAAAGGCUGUGUGUGGCGCCUAUUAAACCAGUUGACACCCAGAACUGUGUGUCGGACAGUUACUGGGGGGGUUUGAACUGCGCUUUCGUUCAUGCUUUACAGAACACCAGUGAAGAUAUUGGUUUUAUUAUUGCAGCUCCGCUACAAACAGGAAACACCAAUCAGCAUCCUUUCUCAGCAUGAUAGGGGUUAUCCAGCAAAUCACUCCUCUUUCUUUACUGCUCCCUCGGUUAAGUACAACAUAAUCCCAAGAUUGUUAACUGUGGGAUCCAUAUUUGUUCUUAUUUGUUUUUCUUGAUUGUUUUAUUUAUUUGCUUAAUUGUUUUAUUGAUUGUAUUGUGUAUUUUUAUUAUUUAAUAUUGAGACUUUUGUCCUACUUUUUUGUUUUUUUUCCACAUUGUGUCUUAGUUUAGUUUUCCCUUCGACCUCCCUCGCCCUGUACUCUUUUGAUAGUUCUCAGGGAUGUCAUUCGGUUAAUUUCCCUAUAUUUGCACUUUUCGUGCUCGUUUCCCCUUUGUACUGCCAUUUUCUCACUCUGAAUUGGGUGCACUUUUAAAUUCCAUCGAUACUUUAACGGCGCUGCCUUUUGCGCCUUUCAUUCGCAUUUGCACUUCGAAUGCUCUCCUUCUUUACUGUUAAUACUACUGUUAUUAUGCGCAUUUGGGACUGACCGCUUACUACCUCAGCUCCGAAUGCACUUUCGUUCGGAGCCAUUUGCAUUUUGAAUCGCUUUUCGCAAUUCGCCACGGCCCAACUCGUAAUGCAUUUAGGUCUGUGAAACAGACGAUUUUUCAAGCCUUUUCUGUUUAGCCUUGCCCCUUACAGACUGGGGACUCUGUCAAGGUUUAGUAUUGUUGGCGGCCGGACAUCUCUUCCUUUGUCUACUGAAUUGAUUAUUUGCUCCUGUGAGUAUUUCUUCCCACUUUUUUAUUCAUUAAUUUUCCUUUCUUGCUUAAUCAACCCUAUCCUUUAGAUUUCUUUUUAUGUUUUUGCCUACAGCCAAAUAUUUUAUUUUUAUCUAUCUCUGUACUUAAUACUUUCAGUAUUAUAUAGACUGACAGAGAUAUGUCUAUGUGUAAUACGACCCCUCAGGUCACCCUGGGGGUUUCCAUGGGACCUCUGUCAAAGAGGCUGAUUUGUCGCCUGAUUUUCCGGCCUCUGCUGAGAUGCAAGCACUUUUUGAUGCCUCUAUGUCAAGGUCCAUGACGAAGUCCUUAGUUUCUGUGAUGGGUGUUAUGUAGACAUCCCUAUUGCAGACAUCUACUCAGGCCCUUUUGCAGGCCCAACGGACAGCUCCACCAACUUUUCAGGUGACAGCACCUCUAUCUGCACCUGAUCCACAUCAACUAGGUUGCAAAGAAAUGGCCAAAUCCAAACAAUCCUUCAAACAAUGCGAGUUGGACAGUUUGCCUCCUGUCACUGAUGGAGCAUUACUACCACCAUGCAAAAGAGCCACUAGCCGGGCAAAAUCAGCUAGAUUAUGGAAGAGUGCAAGAGUCCAGUUGGACUUGUCUUAACUCGGCAAAAUUGAGGAGGAGUUCCCUAGGUACCUCGUGGAUGACUUGGAAGGCUGGUCCAAACCGGAGUUCGAUGGUCCUGAUGGAAAGGCGAACAUCUGCUCUCAUGACAUGCUCCAGGUGGGAUUUCCAGGGGCUCAGUUAAGUUUGUCGGGCUCUGGUGGUGAUUUUAAAAUGUUGGAUCCAGAAUGGUGUCCUUCUGAUCAUGUGGCGAAAUAUAUCACCUCACAAGUACAUAGGCCCUUGGAAGAGGUAACUCACAAUAAAUUACAGGUUUAAUAUCUAGCCCCACAGUCCCUGACGACGACUGCAAGACACCUACGGCGAUUGUGCAAUACAAGAAGUUUAAACAUUAGAUCUCUCUUUACAGAAAAUGUGUAGAGAGAUACUAUAGUUCACAUGAGGUGUGGCUAGGGCUAAAUAAACAAAGUUAUUUAACUUCAAAAUGGUAAAGAAUUGGGCAGCUAAACUUCAAUAGCAUGAUCUAUACACUAAUUAAGCUAAUUCACUUCAUUAAGCUAAAGUUGUUUUGGUGCUUAUAGUGUGCCUUUAAGUCCAUGUAUUAAUUACAUCUAUAGUUUUCUGUUUACUCCAUGAAUUAUUUGUGAUUAUGGUGAGGUCCAUGUUUAGACCACCUGUAUGUGGUUACUUGCUGUUUGCUGUAUAAAACUUAAUUUGGAAUUAGAUGGGCUAUAGUUGAUACUUGUGAACAAAAUAUCAAUUCUAAAUUGUAGUCUCUCACUGCUGGGAUAAUGUGUGUCUAUUAUAUAUACAAUUCUACAUUGUGGAAAUCCUGUACACAAUGAAGUCCUCUUUAACCCAAAAUAAAACUUCUUUGUCACUCAACAUUUGCUAAAUAAAUACAGCUGACCAGAUUAUAUUCCUCAUUAGUGUCCCAAUGGCAUUGAAUAACUUUUCAACUUGUUUUGAUUUGGUUUUGUUUUUUCUAUGACAGAAGGAGCAGAUGUCUACUGAAAGAAAUGGCAUGAGAGUUACAAGAUUUGUCAUCAAUUGACCAAAAUAAAUGGUUUCCAAAACGUGAUUUUGAGUAUAUUUAUCAAAUGAGUUAAAACAAAAUCAUUAUCUAAUAAAUUGGACCUCCAACAUGAUGUGAAUGGUAAUUCAUUGCACAUCUCCUGGACCACGUUAAUGUGCAGUAAUGAUACACAGAUGUUUCAGUAAUAUGGUUCAUGGGGUAACUGUGACCAAGGUUAAGUUACACCCCUAUCAUUGCAAAUUACUGACCAAUUGACUAUUUAUUUCAUAUUCUUGAAACAGUGAAUCCAGACAGUUUAAUAGUUUUUGUAUCUACAGUGUGACAAAUGUAAAAAGGAUGCACUUUGCUCCCAAGGUUAUUUAGUAUAUUCCAAAUUGUAGUAAAUUUAAGUCUUGAUAGCUAAAUUUAGGCAACAAGUUUUAGAGAAAUUUGUUAAUGUGAGCAGAGUAACCACCCGGGCACUUUGUACAUGGAAAUAACACCUGGUUAUGUUAAAUUCCACAUCUAGUUUGGAAAAAAAAUUCUCUUUGUUGGAUCCUAUAGACUGUAAGUUCAUUUGGGCAGGGUCCUCUUCAACCUAUCGUUCCUGUAAGUUUUCUUGUAAUUUUCCAAUUUAUAGUUAAAUCCCCCCUCUCACAAUAUUGUAAAGCUCUACGGAAUCUGUUGGCGCAAUAUAAAUGGCAAUAAUAAUAAUAAUAUUAAAUAUUUAAUUAAAUAUACUAUGAAAGGUUGGGAAUUCACCAGGGAACACUGAACAUUUUAAGCCAAAAUAAGAAUUUUUUUUUAUUUUUCUCCAUUGUAGCUAUAUUUCUAGUUCCACUAUAUUAUCUUUAAAUUUGUAAUUCCUUGAUGAGACACUGACUAUUCAUAUUUUUUUUAAUUAUACUGUAAAUAUUAUAACGCACAAUAUUUAUUCAAUACCCAUUGAUCAACAAAUAAACCUCAUAGGAUGUAUGUUAAAAAAUAUGCAAUAUCAUUAAAAACUUAAUUAGAAAUGGUACAUUUUAAGCUCACCUUACAUUAUUCAUCACUCACAACCUUCUCUUCAAAGUGAAAACCUCAGACCUCUUAGUAUAAAACUGUUACUUUUUAUAAUCUUACAGAACCCUUGUGUGCCAGACCUUCGCCAUUCAAAGCAAUAUUAUGUUUGCAUCUUAUCCAGCACUGUUUGAUGACUCCGUUAAUUACAUAUGGUAGAAAUGUAAUCUUCUCUAAAGUUCCUCUGAUAAACAUUGUAGCACAGGAACUGCCCAACCAUCCGCAUUAUGUUGCUAUUAAUACAUCAUACAGUCCAAGUUUCUAUCACUGAGACCCAUCACCACGUUGUGUAUCAGGCCUGCAAGCAAGGACAAGUCUCACGGAAAUUAGAUCUCAUUUCAUAUUGAAGGGUACAUAAAAAUAAAACAGAUUUAAUUAAUUGUAUAUGAAAUAGAAACAAAGUAUGGACGUUUUACAGCCAUUGAUUUAUAUAUUGUCAAGUGUUCCAAUAUUGCCAGAAAAACAAUUAUUUUGCUUUUAUGUUAAAUGUACUGAUUAUUUGCCUAGUAGGAAGAUUAUUUAGGACAGACAUUUCAAAAUAAGUCUGAAGGCUUGCUUACAAGUCCUUAAGGUAGGUGUAUCAGCAAAUAACAUUUAACUAUUAUAUAACUUGAAGCUCCAGUACAGACCAUUGUUGUCCGUAGUUGACUUUAAUUCUUUAUCCUUUUCGUUGUUCUUGUUUCUUGCAGUCUACAAUGAUGCAGCCUUCUUCAAAUCCCAGAUCUGAUUUGACAUUGCCUUUUGCAUCAUUUGGUAACGUACCAAACUAUAUAAUUGAUUAUAAGACAAAAACUGGAAUUUAUAAGAGCACUAAGACUGAACAACAGCUUAAUUAACUGGCCCUUUUGUGUGUCCUAUCUCAGGGCUCAUACACGUUUUAGCUCAUUGGUGCUAUGGCAGAGAGCUCAUUAGCCACAUAUCAGACUGACUCUACCUAUAAGUACAGCCUAGAUCAAAAUGCAGGCAAGUUCACUUUGUACAGAAGAUACAGCAACUCCGGACGAUCAUUUUGGACAUCACUGAUUCUUGUCAGUAAAACAAAACAAAAAAUAAAGAAAGAAAGAGUUUAUGAGAGCACAGAGAAUGGACAACACCUUUUAUAAAAGUCUUAAGUUUAAUAAUCACUGAGAGAACCUUAGCCAGUCUCAUAUCAGAAUGAUUCCAUCCUCAAGGGCAGUUCAGAUCCAAAAUUGGUUAAUUGAUCUUUUUUACAGCUUUACACUUUCAUACCAACGAUCUCCAGUACCAAGAUAGCUAGAAACGUAGCGGGAACUCACCUGACAAACAUCUUUAUGUG